AACAGCAAAGAUGUGUUCCAAUACUUGAGGAAAAUCAGAUACCCUCUUUUUUUUUUCAACAACGCAAUCAAUCUUGGAUAAGAAUUGCAAACAAGAAAACCAAUAUCUCCAUUUUUGAAACGCCUACUACAUCAAGAACUGCAAGAUUCAGUUCCAAGAUCAUCGACUAGCAAAACUCGCAGUAGUUAAGACGAAAGCAGCAAGAAAGGCAGACGCGUUUCUUGGUCAUAAAGUGUCGGCAUUAGUCUUCUUCCCAC
rnacentral:lncRNA from 1 species